UUGAGUUAUGAUAUUGAGAUUGGUGGGAACUUUGAGAUAGUAUACGAGUAGUGAGUCCCCCAUGGAUCCUACUUGGGGAGCCUUGAGACUCGAUAAGUGUAUACAGAAAGUAAUGUGAUGACUUUCAAUAUAUAUAUAUAUAUAUAUAUUAGUGGAGACUGUGUGAGCUGCCGUUUGGGAACUUUUCUGUUUGCAGAUGACGUACUCAUAGUAUUCUUUACUUAUAUUAUUUUCUACUUUGCUCAGUCGACUAUGAUACUUACUGAGUAUAAGUGGAUUGCACUCACUCCUACUGUGCCCUUUCCGUGCAGAUUCUAGUAUGAGCACGACAUGCGGUGACUGAUUUCAAGAUGAUUUGAGUUGGUGAUUUCGAGGUAUUGGCACACUCUUGGGCUUUCGGGGUUGACUCCAGGCCAUCUCUAAUCUAUUUUGAUGUCUUUAUUAGUUUUGAUAUGUAACCAGUUGUACUUCGAUAUUUCAGAUGUAUUUACUAGAUGCUCUACACUUAUGACACCAGAUUUUGAGAAUUUUAUGUAUUUUGUUUAAACUUCCACUAAAUUUACAUAUGUUUUGACUUGAUUUUGUUUUAGAAGUCUC
rnacentral:lncRNA from 1 species